CAAAAGAAAAGCUAACCCAACCAAGCCGGAGGAGUGGCUAGGCAUGCUCCGUCUGUCGGUUAUCGGAGAAACAUGAAAUUCCAGCAACGCAUAUACAGAACUCUGAAGGUUGGAACAACAGCCCCGGCAACGCUGAGCACAAUUCCAGGUCAGCUCGUGAAGGAUACACGUUGUCUCACGAACAGCCAUCCAUCGAAGAUGCGGCAC